UGGUUGCUUUUGGCCAGGGACAAGGCGCACGCACGCCUCCCAGGCUCUCUGCGGCUCCAAAGCCUCAUGGCAAUUCUGUAUGCUCCAGCAGGCUGCAUACAGCUCUUCGGUUUUGUCUCGAAGCUCCCUCCAGACAUUAGCGCGAGGAGGCACCCAGGAAGAGAAGCCGGGUUAGAGAGUUCCUCCAGCUGCACUGAAAAAUCCCGAGGUGUGCGCUCCACAUUUUAUAGACGGCACCGGGGAUAGCAUGGAUCUGUUUUCCACAAAGCCUCAAAGAAUAGAGAACGUCCACUGCCCACCAGGAGCUGAUGAAGAGGCCUGGCCAGCCAUGAGCAAAUGUGGACCAAUUAAAAAUUUUUCUUCCUGAUCCUUAAUGAUUCCAAUUUCCUUUGUUAAUACAGCUCCCCUGAAUGCAAACAGCUCAGAUGGUGCUAAUUUAGCAUUCAUGAAGGUUCACUGGGUAGACAUCCGCAUGAGAGUGACUUCUAAUGUAGACCCUUUAUGCUACGCUUCCCGAUUCUUACAUAAGGCUUCAUUGAUGACUGGAGUCACGGCUUUGUGUCACAUACGAAGUUCAGGAACUGGCAAAGCAGAAGAUUUUUUUUAAACUGGAAAAGGCCAAGUGUUUGAUAUUUUUGUCUUAUAAAGCCGGUUAUUCCACUACCGUCAAAUGACAGAUUAAUUUCUGUGACAUUAGCCCAUGUUAAAUAUACAAAAUUAAAUGCUUCUCUUCA